rnacentral:rRNA from 1 species
UGGGGAAUUUUGCGCAAUGGGGGAAACCCUGACGCAGCAACGCCGCGUGGGUGAUGAAGGCCUUCGGGUCGUAAAGCUCUGUCUGGAGGGAAGAAAUGAUUGGGAGCUAAUACCUCUUGAUCUUGACGGUACCUCUGAAGGAAGCACCGGCUAACUCCGUGCCAGCAGCCGCGGUAAUACGGAGGGUGCAAGCGUUGUUCGGAAUUAUUGGGCGUAAAGCGCGUGUAGGCGGUCUUUUAAGUCUGAGGUGAAAGCCCCGGGCUCAACCUGGGAAGUGCAUUGGAAACUGGGAGGCUUGAGUACGGGAGAGGAGAGUGGAAUUCCUAUUGUAGGAGUGAAAUCCGUAGAUAUUAGGAGGAACACCGGUGGCGAAGGCGGCUCUCUGGACCGAUACUGACGCUGAGACGCGAAAGCGUGGGUAGCAAACA